rnacentral:rRNA from 1 species
GUAGGGAAUAUUGCUCAAUGGGGGAAACCCUGAAGCAGCAACGCCGCGUGGAGGAUGAAGGUUUUAGGAUCGUAAACUCCUUUUGUUAGAGAAGAUAAUGACGGUAUCUAACGAAUAAGCACCGGCUAACUCCGUGCCAGCAGCCGCGGUAAUACGGAGGGUGCAAGCGUUACUCGGAAUCACUGGGCGUAAAGAGUGCGUAGGCGGGAGGACAAGUCAGGUGUGAAAUCCUAUGGCUUAACCAUAGAACUGCAUUUGAAACUAUCCUUCUGGAGUGUGGGAGAGGUAGGUGGAAUUCUUGGUGUAGGGGUAAAAUCCGUAGAGAUCAAGAGGAAUACUCAUUGCGAAGGCGACCUGCUGGAACAUCACUGACGCUGAUUGCACGAAAGCGUGGGGAGCAAACAGGAUUAGAAACCCUAGUAGUCC